rnacentral:piRNA from 2 species
UUGCUUGGUUCUUUCAUUGUGAUCUUCACC